GUGUCAGCCGCCGCGGUAAAACGUAGGAGGCAAGCGUUAUCCGAAUUUACUGGGUGUAAAGCGCGUGCAGGCGGUUCGGUAAGUUGGAUGUGAAAUCUCCUGGCUCAACUGGGAGAGGUCGUUCAAUACUGCCGGGCUCGAGGGUGGUAGAGGGAGGUGGAAUUCCGGGUGUAGUAGUGAAAUGCGUAGAUAUCCGGAGGAACACCUGUGGCGAAAGCGGCCUCCUGGACCACACCUGACGCUCAGACGCGAAAGCUAGGGGAGCGAACGGGAUUAGAAACCCGCGUAGUCC
rnacentral:rRNA from 1 species